rfam:Pan troglodytes isolate Yerkes chimp pedigree #C0471 (Clint) chromosome 20, whole genome shotgun sequence.
GCUGGGCGUGGUGGCGGGUGCCUGUAAUCCCAGCUACUCGGGAGGCUGAGGCAGAGAAUUGCUUGAACCCAGGAGGUGGAGGUUGCAGUGAGCCGAGAUCGCACCACUGCACUCCAGCCUGGGUGACAGAGCAAGACUCUGUCUCAA